AUAGCGUAUAUUAAAGUUGUUGCAGUUAAAAAGCUCGUAGUUGAACUUUAGGCAAGGCGGUCUGGUCGCCCACUGGGUGUACUGGGUUCGCCGCGCCUCACCUUCGGGGAACUAGUUGUGCUUCGGUGCGCUAGGGAACCGAGCCUUACUUUGAAGAAAUUAGAGUGUUUAAAGCAGGCUUACGCUUGAAUACAUCAGCAUGGAAUAACAUGAUAGGACUUUGGUUCUAUUUUGUUGGUUUGAGGACCAAAGUAAUGAUUAAUAGGGCCAGUCGGGGGCAUUAGUAUUCUAUAGUCAGAGGUGAAAUUCUUGGAUUUAUAGAAGACUAACUAAUG
rnacentral:rRNA from 1 species